GCGCUCACUUCGGCGGCACAUAAACUAAAAUUGGAACGAUACCGACAUUAGCAUGGCCCCUGCACAAGGAUGACACACAAAUUCGUGAAGCGUUCCUUAUUUUU
rnacentral:snRNA from 1 species